rnacentral:rRNA from 1 species
GACAGAGGGUGCAAACGUUGUUCGGAAUUACUGGGCGUAAAGCGCGUGUAGGCGGCCCUGCAAGUCGGGUGUGAAAUCCCAUGGCUCAACUAUGGAAGUGCGCUCGAAACUGCAGGGCUAGAGUCCUGGAGAGGAAGGUGGAAUGCUUGGUGUAGAGGUGAAAUUCGUAGAUAUCAAGCGGAACACCGGUGGCGAAGGCGGCCUUCUGGACAGUGACUGACGCUGAGACGCGAAAGCGUGGGGAGCAAACAGG